GGGUCCCGGGAUGUUGAUUGA
rnacentral:siRNA from 1 species